UCACGCAUCGCGUCUCCCCCAAAUCCACCACGAGUGGAGGGGAAGGAGGAUGGUUUCCCGCGACUCACCGGUCGCGGCUGGCCUAAAAUUGGAGCCCUCGGCAUCGGGAUGCCGCGGCGAUAGGUGGUGAACAAGGCCUCGGCCAAGCAAGCAACCCGUCGCGCGUCCCAGUGCCAACGUGAGCUCGAAGGACCCUUUGAUGUUGCCUUGUUGCAACCAAACCGUUGCGAC
rnacentral:rRNA from 1 species